AUGGUUCAUCGGGAUCAGGGAAAGCUGGUGCAGGUGGUGGCCGCGGAUGUUGGACUUGUGGCGCCGCCGAGCAGGUACGUGCUAAGCGAGGAGAAUCGUCCGACCACUGUCGCUCAGCAAGCCAAGCCGGUGAUCCCCAUCGCGGACGUGAGCCGUCUGGCCAUGCCCGAUGAUGUUGAGGAGGCGGCCAAGCUUCGCUCUGCGCUGCAGUCAUGGGGCCUCUUUGUGGUGACCGGCCAUGGCAUGGCAAAGGAGUUCCUCGAUGAUAUCCUCGAGGCGACGAGGAGGUUCUUCCACCUGCCGCUGGAGGAGAAGCAGAAGUGCGGCAAUGUGAUCGACGGUGUCAAGUUCCAGAAUGAAGGGUACGGCAUCGACUGCAUCGACUCCGACGAACAGAUCCUCGACUGGGAUCAACUACACAAGUACACCCUAGAGAGUGGGAGGGUGACCAUGGAUGUGCUGAAGGCCAUGGCAAAGCUUCUGAAUCAGGAGGAGAACUUCUUCAUCAACAUGGUGGGUGAGAGGUUCAAGUCAUACUCGAGGUUCACCUACUACCCUCCCUGCCCACGGCCGGACCUCGUCAACGGGCUGAAGCCACACAUCGACAACUCUGUCAUCACACUGCUCCUCAUGGACAAGGACGUCGGCGGCCUCCAGGUGCUCAAGGACGGCCACUGGGUUGAUGUCCCCGUGCUCGGGAAUGACCUGUUGGUCGUCGUAGGCGAGGGCAUGGAGAUCGUCAGCAAUGCAAUCUUCAAGGCGCCAUGGCACCGUGUCGUGACGAGCGCCGACAAGGAGAGGCUGUCACUGGCGACGUUCUACCAGCCGGAGCCGGAGAGGAUCAUAGGGCCGCCGGGGGUACUGGUUCAUGAGAAGCACCCGGCCAUGUUUAAGAAGUGCCUGGUCCAGACCUUGGCCGAUGGAUAUUGGGAUGCAUUUGCAGCGGGAGAUCGCACCGUCGACUUCCUCAAUGUCAGGAUCAAUGCUGAGGCUGACGCCGAACUAGAGGCGCAUGCAGUGGUUGUAAACAACUAA
rnacentral:rRNA from 1 species